AACCGUCGAUUUCUUUUCUUUUCUUUCCCUAGUCUCUUCCUUCGUUUUCUUCUCGCUCUCUUUCUCUUCUUAAGUUCUAAACUAAAAAACCUCUGCAGCUGAAUAUCCACCUACGUUUCGAGAGAUUUGCAGAAAAUCAAUAAUGGAGAUAAAGGAUUGAGUUGGUUUCUCUUCGCUUCCUUGAUUAGGCAUGCAGUAUUUUUCAUCUCUUUCUCUUGUAAACAACGAAAAUUCCAUCCCUCCAACUGAAUCAAUCACGGAGAAUCUGCAACUGAAUCAAUCACGGAGAUGAAGAAUUGAAUUGUUGGGCUCAUUUGAAGGUUAGGAAGAAGGUAGAUGAACAACGUCUACUACGCUGCCAGAUAGGAGAGAACGAAAGGGUGGGGUUGGUGGUACCAUUGAUAGGCUUGAGGAGAACUUCAAAAAUUCGAAAUAGCACAUGGAAGAAGAAAGUUAUAUCUAGGGAAAGAAAUGAAACAAUUACUUUUUUAAAGUUGCUAACUUCUUCUAAUGUUGGUCUCAGUUUUGCUAGAAUACAUUACCAAAUUUGUUGUUUGUCUUGCACUCUUACUGUUUUGGCAACUUCGGUUAAUUACAAACUUGAUACAGCUAAAUCCGAAUUUCAUUCAUAGAGAAAAUGUUACAGAUUUCACUUCUGUGGAGGUGUCAUAGUUUGUUGACGUGCAACACACGUGCACUCUACUUGUUAUUUUAGUCCGCAAAUAAAAACGUGUGAUAUUCCUAG